CGGCGCAUCCGCGGUCGGGCCACGCCGCAGUUUCCGUGGAGACGGCGGCAGCGGUCUCUGCUUCCUUAGGAACCAAACAUUUCAUCCGCCUUGAGUAGGGCUGCAAAUAUGCGGGAUGGGCCCGGACAGGCCGCCCAGGUGUGCCCCGGGGCGGGGAUUGCUCCGGCAGCAGCUCCGGGACCAUCCCGGGAUGCGCUGCCGGGACCCGGGCGUGCCCACGCGCGGCGCUGCCAUCCCAAAAUGCUCCAACUCCUCAUUCUGAAGGAGCGUGGCCUAAUUAACUCAAGUGCAGGAUGAUUUUAAAUUAACAGAAUAAAUUAUUUCUUUCUCGUUGUUGCACCAAACUUUGCUGGGUUGAGCGGCACUCAAAGCUCCGAGCGCUGAGGGGGGGGCCAGCCAGAGGCACCAGCCCAGCCCCAGCCCCUGUGGGACACGAAGCAAAGCCCCCGGGGCAUUUCCUGCCCAGCUCCCUCCUCAGCAGGGCUGCCAGGAGUGACAUCAGCCCAGGAGCGUGUUAGGGAAUUCAAGUUCAAACAGAGAUGAGGAAGCCAGGGAAGCUUUAUUAGAUUCCAGCCUCACCAGGUGUCAGCAGAAGUGUGCCAGGUGAGGCUCCAGCAUGCACAGGUGGGGAGCUGGGCUGGGAGCAGAGCUGGGCUGGGAGCAGAGCUGGGCAUGCAGGGGGGCUGGGCUGGGCCCUGGGGCUGCCCCGGCUGGAGCUGAAGGGUUCCCAGGGAGGGGACAGGGAUGGGAGCAGCCCCAGAGAGGGGCCACCCAUCAGAGGCAUGGAGAGCUUUGGAAGCAGCCUGGGAGGGAGCCAGGACAGGCCUUGAACACUGCAUGGAGGGGACAGAGAGCUGGGGAGGGGAGGGAAGGUUUGGGAAGGGAAGGUUUGGGAAGGUUUGGGAAGGUUUGGGAAGGGAAGGUUUGGGAA